AACGCUGGCGGCAGGCCUAACACAUGCAAGUCGAACGAACUCUUCGGAGUUAGUGGCGGACGGGUGAGUAACACGUGGGAACGUGCCUUUAGGUUCGGAAUAACUCAGGGAAACUUGUGCUAAUACCGAAUGUGCCCUUCGGGGGAAAGAUUUAUCGCCUUUAGAGCGGCCCGCGUCUGAUUAGCUAGUUGGUGAGGUAAUGGCUCACCAAGGCGACGAUCAGUAGCUGGUCUGAGAGGAUGAUCAGCCACAUUGGGACUGAGACACGGCCCAAACUCCUACGGGAGGCAGCAGUGGGGAAUCUUGCGCAAUGGGCGAAAGCCUGACGCAGCCAUGCCGCGUGAAUGAUGAAGGUCUUAGGAUUGUAAAAUUCUUUCACCGGGGACGAUAAUGACGGUACCCGGAGAAGAAGCCCCGGCUAACUUCGUGCCAGCAGCCGCGGUAAUACGAAGGGGGCUAGCGUUGCUCGGAAUUACUGGGCGUAAAGGGAGCGUAGGCGGACAUUUAAGUCAGGGGUGAAAUCCCGGGGCUCAACCUCGGAAUUGCCUUUGAUACUGGGUGUCUUGAGUAUGAGAGAGGUGUGUGGAACUCCGAGUGUAGAGGUGAAAUUCGUAGAUAUUCGGAAGAACACCAGUGGCGAAGGCGACACACUGGCUCAUUACUGACGCUGAGGCUCGAAAGCGUGGGGAGCAAACAGGAUUAGAUACCCUGGUAGUCCACGCCGUAAACGAUGAUUGCU
rnacentral:rRNA from 1 species